UUACUUACCUGGAUGGGGUCAAUGGAUGAUCAAGAAGGUCCAUGGCUUAGGUUGGUGACCUCCAUUGCACUUUGGAGGGGUGCCAACCUAAGGUCUCCCCGAGUGGGAGAGCCUACAUCAUAAUUUGUGGUAGGGGGCUUGUGUUCGCGCAGCCCCUCU